rnacentral:rRNA from 1 species
AUGCUUGCUAAUUACACUUUUAAGGGUGGAAUACCAAAGAAACUUGGAGAUCCCGGGGUACCGACUAUAGCAUGCUCUAUUAAAAGAAAUUAUGUUAGAACUGCUUUAUGUGAUCUUGGAGCCGGUGUUAGUGUUAUGCCUCUCUCUUUAUAUCGUAGACUUGAAUUGAAUAAGUUGACACCUACUAAAAUAUCUUUGCAAAUGGCUGAUAAAUCAACUGCUAUACCUGUCGGCAUUUGUGAGGAUGUGCCUGUUGUGGUUGCAGAUGUCACUAUCUUAACGGACUUUGUUAUUAUUGAUAUUCCCGAGGAUGAUAGUAUGUCUAUUAUCCUUGGUAGACCUUUUCUUAAUACUGCAGGGGCUGUUAUUGAUUGCAACAAAGGCAAUGUCACUUUUCAUGUUAUUGGUAAUGAGCAUACAGUACACUUUCCGAGGAAACAAUCUCAAGUUCAUAGCAUCAAUUCUAUUGAAAAAGCUCCAACUAUUAUUAUUGGAGGUUUUGAAUUUCCUCUCCCUACUGUCAAGAAAAAGUAUGAUAUUCUUAUUGUUGGGGAUUUUCAUAUCCCCGUUAAGGUAACUUAG